GGAGGGAUUGCCGAGCUUGGCCAAAGGUGCAGGAUUCAGAGUCCUGUCACGUAGGUGUUCGUGGGUUCAAAUCCCACUCCCUCCAC
rnacentral:tRNA from 1 species